rnacentral:lncRNA from 1 species
UCUGCCUGGAGCUUUACAAAGUCCUUGCUGGUGGGCACAAGGUUGAAGACUACCGCAACACAUUUGCGAACCUCGCAAUCCCCCUCUUCUCCAUGGCGGAGCCUGUUCCACCUAAGACCAUCAAGCACCAAGACAUGUCCUGGACCGUGUGGGACCGCUGGACCAUAACCGGCAACAUCACGCUGAGGGAGCUCCUGGAGUGGCUCAAGGAGAAGGGCUUGAACGCGUACAGCAUAUCUUGUGGGACCUCACUGCUGUACAACUCCAUGUUCCCGAGGCACAAGGAGCGGCUGGACAAGAAGGUGGUUGAUGUGGCCAGGGAGGUGGCCAAGGUGGAGGUGCCCUCGUACCGGCGCCAUCUGGAUGUCGUGGUGGCCUGUGAGGACGAUGAUGACAA